rnacentral:rRNA from 1 species
GACGAACGCUGGCGGCGCGCCUAACACAUGCAAGUCGAACGGGGAAGUUAGCAAUAACUUUCUAGUGGCGAACGGGUGAGUAACGCGUGGACAACCAACCUUAUAGUGGGGGACAACACUUCGAAAGGAGUGCUAAUACCGCAUACGCUCUUCGGAUCGCAUGGUUUGAAGAGGAAAGGGGCAAUUGCUCCGCUAUAAGACGGGUCCGCGUCUGAUUAGCUAGUUGGAGGGGUAACGGCCCACCAAGGCGACGAUCAGUAGCCGGUCUGAGAGGAUGAACGGCCACACUGGGACUGAGACACGGCCCAGACUCCUACGGGAGGCAGCAGUGGGGAAUCUUCCGCAAUGGACGAAAGUCUGACGGAGCGACGCCGCGUGAGUGAAGAAGGUCUUCGGAUUGUAAACCUCUGUUCUUGGUGACGAAAAAGAUGACGGUAGCCAAGGAGAAAGCCCCGGCUAACUACGUG